CUUGCGUCUGAUUAGCCUAGUUGGUGUGGUAACGGCACACCAAGGCUACGAUCAGUAACUGGUCUGAGAGGAUGAUCAGUCACACUGGAACUGAGACACGGUCCAGACUCCUACGGGAGGCAGCAGUGAGGAAUAUUGGGCAAUGCUCGAAAGAGUGACCCAGCAACGCCGCGUGGAGGAUGAAGGUAUUCUAUAUCGUAAACUCCUGUGAGAGCAGACGAAAGACAGAUUAUUAAUCUGGAUGACUGUAUGCUCAGAGGAAGCCCCGGCUAACUACGUG
rnacentral:rRNA from 1 species